UGCCAGCAGCCGCGGUAAUACGAAGGAUCCUAGCGUUGUCCGGAUUUACUGGGUUUAAAGGGAGCGUAGGCGGACUUUUAAGUCAGUGGUGAAAGCCUGCAGCUUAACUGUAGAAUUGCCAUUGAAACUGAUUGUCUCGAGUGUGGUUGAGGUCACUGGAAUGUAUCAUGUAGCGGUGAAAUGCUUAGAUAUGAUACAGAACACCAAUUGCGAAGGCAGGUGACUAAGCCAUUACUGACGCUGAUGCUCGAAAGCGUGGGGAUCAAACAGGAUUAGAUACCCUGGUAGUCCACGCCCUAAACGUUGAAUACUCGACCUUAGCGAUAUACAGUUAGGGUCCAAGCGAAAGCGUUAAGUAUUCCACCUGGGAAGUACGAUCGCAAGAUUGAAACUCAAAUAAAUUGACGG
rnacentral:rRNA from 1 species